AUGUCCCCACAGAAUGGAUUUUGGGCCAUCAGGCUCUAUGAGGGGGAGUACUGGGCCCUCACCUCCCCAGAAACUCAGCUUACACUGAGAGAUAACCCCCACACAGUGGGGAUAUUCCUGGAUUAUGAAGCUGGAGAUGUAUCAUUCUAUAACAUGACAGAUGGAUCCCACAUGUUCACCUUUCCCCAAAGCGCAUUCUAUGGUGUUCUGAGACCUCUUUUCAGGCUUUGGUCCUCUGACUCAGUGGCCUACGUCUCCUUUGGGUCUCAUGCUGGAAAGCUUGUAGCGAAUGUAGAUGUUAUGAUAAAACAGGGCUUUAGUUGAUGGACCCUGCACUCAGGUAAGAAGACAGGCCAUGCCUUUCAAAUGCAUGCAACUCACUGACUUCAUCCUCAAGUUCCCACACAGUGCCCGCCAGAAGUAUGUCCGACAAGCCUGGCAGAAGGCCGAUAUAAAUACAAAAUGGGCAGCCACAAGAUGGGCCAAGAAAAUGGAAGCCAGAGAAAGGAAAGCUAAGAUGAUAGAUUUUGAUUUAAAAUUCGUUUAAAAGUUAUGAAGGCAAAGAAAAUGAAGAACAGAAUAAUCAAGAAUGAAGUUAAGAAGCUUCAAAAAGCAGCUCUUCUGAAAGCUUCUCCCCAAAAAGCACCUGCUAAGCUGCUGCUGCUGUUGCAGCGGCUGCUGCUAAAGUUCCAGCAAAAAAGAUGACCACUGCAGGCUAGAAGGCUGCAGCCCAGAAGGUCCCUGCCCAGAAAGCCACAGGCCAGAAGGCAGCACCUCCUCCAAAAGCUCAGAAGGGUCAAAAGGCUCCCGCCCAGAAAGCACCUGCUCCAAAGGCAUCUGGAAAGAAAGCAUAAGAGGCUAUAAUGAAAGUAAUAAAGGUUCUUUCUGACAAAAAAAAAAAAAAA